AUCUCUCUCUCUCUCUCUCUCUCUCAGCUCUCUCAUAUAUAGAGAUCAUAGAUCUCAGCCAUAUUCAUGUCCUUCUUUGUUGUUUUUCUGUGCAAAACCGUAUGCUUUUUUCUCCUUUGUUUCUUGCUCAUUUUUAUUGCUUGUACUUAUUUGUUUUCUCCCCAAUCCAUAUGUAUAUACUAUAUAUACCUCUUUGCCUCUAUCGGUUUCUUGCUUUACUGUCCUUCUGAUAUAUAUCAAUUUUGUUUGUUGAUUUACCUUUUCUUUGUGGGCUUAAUCGCUGGAAUCUCGCAUGGAGAGAUAUGUCGCAAACCGGGGCUUUCUUUUCCUGUGCCGGAAUCUGACUCGGCUUCUCUUUCGAACUCUUUCUGUUGCCGGAAUCUAAUCGGAGAAAUCUGACCCAGAUAUGAUUUUGAAAGUGUCAGUCUAUUCGAUACAGAUGGUUUCAGUCUCCAGUUUCUGUGACUUCAUAAAUAGUAGUGAAUUAUAAUUUCUUUCUUUGGGGUUCAAAAAACUUAUGAAUAGGGUUUUUGUUUUGUUUGUUUCAAUAGGUCUUUAUUCGAGAGUUGAAAGUUUUGUUCCUAUGGUCGUGUUGGACACGGUAGAUUCUUCUCGGGGGUUACCCCUCAUGUAGUAGUACUUUAUGUUUCAACCACUCACAAUCCAACAAGUCAUCUUUUGUCUGUAUGGCGUCGGGCUAAGUCGUACAUGAAAUGUCCUAUUUUUUCCAGCCUUUUUAUUUUUAUUUCCUUCUUUUUGUUUUUCCUUUUCUUGACGAGGGUCUCCCUAUGGAAAUGUUCGGAUGUACUUCUGCUACCUUUCUUGAUAUAAUAUUAGUGCACAUAUUGGGUAAAAUCAGGCGUUGUGCAUGGACGAUAUAUAGAAUGACAGUCAGUUGUUUGCGGGUGUAGCAUCAUCAAGAUUCACAUGCAAAUGCACAGUGGGUGAUUGCAAAAUCUGCACUCUGCCAGAGUUCUUUUGAAAGUGAGAAUCUUGAUGAUGCUGCAUCGGCAAUAAACGACUACACAAAUUAAAGAGGAUGAUCUCUUGCACCAUUCAACACUGCCACUUUUGCACUUGAACCCAGGUGAUCCUUUCUUUCCGAGUACUUUCUGUUACCGUAAGCUGGGUUUAAUUUCUUUCUAUCUUCUGUUUUUUUUUUUUUUUUUUUUUUCCCCAAAACAAUCUAUGAGCUAGUGGGUUUACUGUAUGUAUAUUUUUAUAUGAUUGUCAGUUCUCUCUCUGCAAACUGCGUAGAAUCUUAUAGGCUAUUCAAGGACCUCUGCUGACCUUCUGUAGAUCUGUGAAUAUUCCUCUGAGCAAAACUUGCUAGGGUGGAAAUAGUACAUUUUCAGGUGCUUAUUGCUGGAGAUGGGCGGAUAUAUACUUUGUCUAUUACUGGAAAUCAAGAGAAAGAGAAUCUUGAUGAUGCAGCAUGGGCUAUAGAUCAAUUAAUAUAUUAUCGGAAAAGAAAGGCAAAGAACCAGUUACUGGUGGAUGGCGAGUCAUCACAUGAGCAAUAUUCUAAGAAUGGAUGGGAAAAUUUGGGCAGAAACUGAGAAGAAAGGUGAGCAGCAAAAAGGAAGAUAGCUUUCUCACGUUCGGUUGUUCUAUCGGGUUUGAUAAUCUCAGCUAUAUAUCAAUAGCUUUUGCAGUUUUUUUUUUUUUUCAACCAUCUUUGUUAGUGGACCAAACUUAAAGAGAUCAGACAUCUUGCAACUUGGACCCUUUGGCUGGCAUGUAGUAGCACUCACACAGAGAGAGAGAGAGAGAGAGAGAUUGGCACAGACUAAUGUGAAGAUAUAUCACGACAACAUGAGAUAUCGUUUUUUCUCGUGGAGCCAGUUCGUAGCAAAAUGGGCCAUUUUUGGUGGGAAAUAGCUAGCUCGUGGUAGGUCGAUCGUUGGAAAUAACUCGCCGGAAAAAGUGUUAUUUCCCACAACAAACUUGACUUGUCGGAAUAAGUAAGUUUUAUUGGUGGGCUCAGUCGCGGGAAAAAAACUUCUUGUCCGUAGAAAAUACUAGUUGGAUUCCUUCACUAUGCGAAAAUAGAUGAAUUUUCCAAGAAGAUGUAUAUAAGCGGGUGGAUUUUAGUUCCACCAUACUACCGUUAGUAAUAAUCCAGCUUGUUAGAAAAAAGCAUUAUUUUUUACAAGGUUCGAUGGUAGAAAAUAGUUAGUUCUGAUCAUUUUCACCCAAGCUCUAAUCCUUGCAAUUAGAUGAUGUUUUGAUAAAUCAUUAGCCC